CCUACGGGCGGCAGCAGUAGGGAAUAUUGCUCAAUGGGGGAAACCCUGAAGCAGCAACGCCGCGUGGAGGAUGAAGGUUUUCGGAUUGUAAACUCCUUUUGUUAGAGAAGAUAAUGACGGUAUCUAACGAAUAAGCACCGGCUAACUCCGUGCCAGCAGCCGCGGUAAUACGGAGGGUGCAAGCGUUAUCCGGAAUCACUGGGCGUAAAGCGCGCGUAGGCGGGAUAGCAAGUCAGAUGUGAAAUCCUGUGGCUUAACCAUAGAACUGCAUUUGAAACUGUUAUUCUAGAGUACGGGAGAGGUAGGUGGAAUUCUUGGUGUAGGGGUAAAAUCCGUAGAGAUCAAGAAGAAUACUCAUUGCGAAGGCGACCUGCUAGAACAUAACUGACGCUGAUGCGCGAAAGCGUGGGGAGCAAACAGGAUUAGAUACCCGAGUAGUC
rnacentral:rRNA from 1 species